GGAGGUCCUGCCCUUGCCCCUCGCCCUACCCCACCUCCCAAACAGGGGAGACUCCUGUAGGAACCUUGGAAGGACACAAGAUGCCAGGCCUAGCGCGCUUGGGGAUCCUCUGGACAAGGCCACAGUGACAUCGCCAGGUGAGGAUUUUGCUGCCCUCUGGGCGUCCCCUCAGCUUCCAGCCUUAGUCUUUUUCUCUUUGGACUCAGUCUAGAGACAGAUUAGGAUCUCGGGAAGGCUCAGUCCUCUUGUUAAACUGAAAGGGAAACUGAGGCUUAGAGGUUAGUGAUUGACCAGGGUCAGGGGCCAGAGCUGAGGGGCCAAACAGCUCUGCCCAGCCCUGGCUGCCUCUUCCUCCCCCGCACAGCACAGAUCCUAAGUGGGCGCCCUGGAUCAAUGAUCACUCUGCACAAACUUUUGGAUCCCUCGGACUCCAUGAUCAACCAUCCAAGUUGCUGCUUACAAAUGUCUGCUUCCAUUGAAGGUUUCCUGUAGUCAUCAGCUUUCUGGAACUUUCUGAAAUCAAACCUUUCUCAGAUUGCUGGCAAGUGCUGGUUGGCUUCGGAAUGGAGAUGUGGCCUGCUGAGCACUGGCAGGGCUCCCCAGAGCUAUGUGGACCCAGGCCCUGGGACCCCCUGCCCGUUCCUGAUGGCACCUGUCCUCUCCCUCCAGCACGUGAGGAGGUGUUUGACAGGGACCCACGGAAGACAGCGUGAAAUGCUUGACAAUUCCCAAGGAGCCGUGGAGGCUCCAGAAACUUCCAGGCCCCACUCUGCCACUCUGGACCAGUAUUGGGGACCCAGAGGUGGAUCAGAUCCAGCCCAGCACUUGUGGGCUCCAAGUUUAGCAAAGGAGAGAGUUUCAUGCUCUGGAACAGUUGCCUUGGAGUCUCGAAUGGCACUUCCAGGGAGGGCACAGACUUCAAUGCACAGAAGGGGAAACUGAGGCAGCCCUCAGAAAGACACAAUUUGCCAAGGUCACACGGCAACGGCAAAUCAUUGUGUUUUUUCCUGAGGCUAGGACCCACAACUUUGCAUUCUGGCCCCAGGCUCUUUUUCUGAACUUUAACCCCAGAGGCCAGCCUUUGAGACAUGUACAAGGUCACCGCAUUAUGAGCCAAAGACCUGGUUCAGAAUCCACCUCCCCCAAGUAUGACUGUGUCACUUGGGUCACUUCAUUGUCUGCACUAGGCCUCUGUCCCCCAAGACAGAUGGCCUCUAAAUAGCCCUGGCUCUAAUUGUGAGUCUGGGAUUCUCUGAAAUUGGGUGUUCGGACCCGGCUGUACAGUCUCUCAGUGGCUGGUUAUAAGUCACUGCUGAGGGGGGUUUCUUCCACUACUGAUGCUAAGAAAUGCUGGAGAUGGUGGUUACUUCAGCCACAGGCUGUGCGGUCUACUCUGAAGAUGACCUGGGGGUCAGCUUUGCACACUUUGGACCCCAUCGGACCCCUCCAAUGGUGAGUCCCCUGAUGAACUUGGCACCAAACUGUGUGAAUGGCCCCAGAUAGGUUGGGUUUAAAGAAUGGAAAAGCAAGUCUGCCUCCCAGUCUACGCGGGCCCGAUCUCCAGGGACCUGAGGUGAGCCUGCUCAUCCAGUGCUCAGAACUUGGUCCUCUGGGAGACUACAGACCCCAGGGGACAUGGGCUCAUGCCCAUCUGAAACUGGGUCUCAGGGUUGGAGCAUUCCCUUUCCAGAUCCUGAAGGUGCUGGGCUAGGUGGGACCUGGCUUAGAGAUGCCCAGAGUGACAGGGAGGGACCCCCAUCCAUUUUGCAAAUAGGGAAAUGGAGGUCCAGAGAACAGGGGGGGCUUGCAUGACCCCCAGAGGACUGGUGGCAAACCGAGGACCAGAAUCCAUGUCUCCUGAUCCUCCUGUCCAGAACCGCACCUCUGCAUCGGACACAAUCUGCUGACAUCCAUGCUGAGCUCACCUCCUCUUUUUCCCAGAGCUUUGAGUCCUUGGCAGAGGGCGCCUCGGCCCACCCCUGUGAGGUCUGGGCGAUCGGGAGCUUUCCCUUCAACCAGAUGGUUCUUUCCUCUGAAGCUUCCUGGUGUCCCCUACCCGCCUACCCGGUGCUCAUUCCUUCCUGGUUCCAGAAACUGCUCCAUCAACAGGCCACUGCUGCUCUUCCCUUUUUGCUGUAGUUCAGCCAGCUCUGCAGUUCUGGCACUCUCGGGGUGCAGAUCCUCAUCCUCCCCUGAUUGGGGUCUCUCCUUGAUUGCUCCUAGGGCUCCCCCCUGCCUGUGGCCCAGGCCUACUCUUUACCUCUGAUCCUCUGACCCUUAUCCCCCAUCCGUCUUUCGUGGGGUCCCCUGGACCAUGCCUUGCAGACACCCUCCAUGCUUGCCCAGGGCCAGUGGAAAUAAGCAGCCCACACCUCAGAGGGGUGCUGUGAGGUUUAUGGAGUUGAUACCUGCACCAGGUAAAUAAGGCGCAGGAACAUGCUGC
rnacentral:lncRNA from 1 species